rnacentral:rRNA from 1 species
ACCCGCCGAAUUUAAGCAUAUCAAUAAGCGGAGGAAAAGAAACUAACAAGGAUUCCCUUAGUAACGGCGAGCGAAGUGGGAAGAGCUCGAGCCUAAAAUCACUGGCAGUCACUGCCAGAGAAUUGUGGCCGGGAGAGGCAGCGGUGCCCUGACUGAUGCUGUUGAAGUUGACCUGGAAAGGCACGUCAGAGAGGGUGAGAGCCCCGUGCGUGACACUGUCGGGAAGGGCUGCUACUGUCUUCGGAGAGUCGGGUUGUUUGGGAAUGCAGCCCAAAGUGGGUGGUAAACUCCAUCUAAAGCUAAAUACUGGCACGAGACCGAUAGCGAACAAGUACCAUGAGGGAAAGGUGAAAAGUACUUUGAAAAGAGAGUCAAAAAGACCGCGAAACCGUUAGGAGGGAAGCGAAU